rnacentral:rRNA from 1 species
ACGAACGCUGGUGGCGUGCUUAACACAUGCAAGUCGAACGGUGAAGCUCCAGCUUGCUGGAGUGGAUCAGUGGCGAACGGGUGAGUAACACGUGAGCAACCUGCCCCUGACUCUGGAAUAAGCGCUGGAAACGGCGUCUAAUACUGGAUACGAGAAGGGUCCGCAUGGGCACUUUCUGGAAAGUUUUUCGGUUGGGGAUGGGCUCGCGGCCUAUCAGCUUGUUGGUGAGGUAAUGGCUCACCAAGGCGACGACGGGUAGCCGGCCUGAGAGGGCGACCGGCCACACUGGGACUGAGACACGGCCCAGACUCCUACGGGAGGCAGCAGUGGGGAAUAUUGCACAAUGGGCGAAAGCCUGAUGCAGCGACGCCGCGUGAGGGAUGACGGCCUUCGGGUUGUAAACCUCUUUCAGCAGGGAAGAAGCGAAAGUGACGGUACCUGCAGAAGAAGCACCGGCUAACUACGUG